rnacentral:rRNA from 1 species
GAUGAACGCUAGCUACAGGCUUAACACAUGCAAGUCGAGGGGAAACGAUAUUGGAAGCUUGCUUCCGAUAGGCGUCGACCGGCGCACGGGUGAGUAACGCGUAUCCAACCUGCCCAUCACUUGGGGAUAACCUUGCGAAAGUAAGACUAAUACCCAAUGAUAUCUCUAGAAGACAUCUGAAGGAGAUUAAAGAUUUAUCGGUGAUGGAUGGGGAUGCGUCUGAUUAGCUUGUUGGCGGGGUAACGGCCCACCAAGGCGACGAUCAGUAGGGGUUCUGAGAGGAAGGUCCCCCACAUUGGAACGGAGACACGGUCCAAACUCCUACGGGAGGCAGCAGUGAGGAAUAUUGGUCAAUGGGCGAGAGCCUGAACCAGCCAAGUAGCGUGCAGGAUGACGGCCCUAUGGGUUGUAAACUGCUUUUAUAAGGGAAUAAAGUGGGUCUCGUGAGACUUUUUGCAUGUACCUUAUGAAUAAGGACCGGCUAAUUCAGUGCCAGCAGCCGCAGUAA